rnacentral:rRNA from 1 species
UCGGGGGUAAACGGACAGAGCCCGUGAAUCCGGGCGGCAGAAUUCAAAAUCGACGGCGUUCGCGCGUCGCCGGUUUGAUAUUUCUGUCGCCGUAACAAUGUACGGACGUCGCGACCCGUUCGAUGUCGGUCUGAGGAGACGUGUAAAAGUUCGUUGACGCGUCGUUUCGGCGGCGUAGUCGGCGAGUGCGCGUUUUUUACUGGCCGACUCGUCGGACGGUAAGCGUAACGGUGACCGCGGCGAUCAGCUUUUCGGAGCGUAGCGUCGUCGUCGGUACCGGUCUGCGACGAAUCUU